UAUUGUACCAUUUUUAUUUAAACAAUACAAUACAAUGUUUAGGUAAUUAGUAGGUUUGCUUUGUAAGUCCUCCUGUAUCUGCUACUGUGGUGUUUUUCCAUUAGUGCCUCAGUUUGAUUGUUCCUUUUACUUGUAGGUACUUCACCGUGUUAGGCAGCCUAUCAAGCAGAUUCGCAAAGGCCUUAAAGAAACGGGAAUCUGGCCGCUUGUUUCAAAUAGGCCAGAUGUCCACCCCAUAUUAUUUCCAAGAGAGAAAAAUGAUGAGCUGAACUCACAGACUGUGAUCCAGAACAUCCACUGGCCACAGCCCAAAAGUGACAGCGAUGAGGACGAGGACGACGCCGUUCCAUUGGAGAAAGUCGGUCUCGUCACUGGAUUUUUGAGGCAAUUCAUAGAGGAAGCAUCUCCGAAGGUGCUGCGUGACCUCUUGAAGUUCUGGGUCGGGUGGGAGCUGCUCACAACAAACCUUGAAGUUGAGGUUGUUACUUCAAAAUACCCAGUGGCUCUCACCUGCUUCCUAAAAUUGAAGCUCCCAAGCCACUACCAAACUUAUGAGAAGUUCCACCAGGACUUGAUGAUGGCCCUCAGUUCCAUCAGUUCAGGCUUUGGGCUUGUGUCUCUGUUUGUUUUGUAUUUUUCUGGAGAAGGGUUUGCCUCUCUAUUCAAUACACUGUGUGAGAUACAGGGUUACAGUUGGUACACCUACCGUGUUUUAUAAAUAAAGGACAUUUGGAAAAAGA